rnacentral:misc_RNA from 1 species
AAAGUCGUAACAAGGUCUCCGUAGGUGAACCUGCGGAGGGAUCAUUAUGAAAGCAUUUUUUUUUUGCAAACCCUGUCUACUGUCCCGUUGCUUAGGAGGUGCCCCUGGGAGGGGAUAUGCUUCGGCCGCCUCCGAAAGCACCCAAAACUUAUUUAUCUAUGUUAUUCUGAAAAAGAAAAUAUUAAAACCUCAACAACGGAUCUCUUGGUUACA